AAUGGGAUAGCUGGGUCAAAUGGUGCCAUUCCAAGUUUUCUAAGGAACCUCCAUACUGCUUUCCAGAUUGGUUGUACCAAUUUGCAGUCCCACCAGCAAG
rnacentral:pre_miRNA from 1 species